rnacentral:rRNA from 1 species
AUGCUCUUCACUAUAGCAAUAGCCCCGCUGCAUUGGAUCUUCCAAAAAGCUUCCGAUUUGGGCCUGCUUACCCCCCUUGAUCUGCCUCCCUCCAAACUUCGAGUCAGCCUGUACGCCGAUGAUGCUGCCCUUUUCAUUCACCCUUCACCUCUAGAUGUCCUGUUGGUCAAAUUGAUCCUCACUUGCUUCGGCAAAGCCUCGGGUCUGCAUGCUAACACCAACAAGUGUGCGUUCUACCCUAUCCGCUGUGAGCACCUUCAUGUUCCUACACUGCUGCAAUCCUUCCCAGUACUUAUCAAGUCCUUUCCUUGUGUCUACUUGGGCCUGCCGCUCCAUUACCGUGCUAUUUCCAAAGCUGACCUUCAACCACUCCUUGAUAAAAUAGCCGCUAAGCUUCAGAGAUGGAGAGGCAAACUCUUAUCGUAUGCUGCUCGGCUCACUCUCAUUGAUUUGGUCCUUUCAGCCAUUCCCAUAUAUCUUCUCUCCAUCUUCAAAGUUGGACGAUGGGCCAUUAAGCAGAUCGAUAAGAUGAGAAGGAACUUUCUUUGGAAAGCUAACCCGGAUGCCAGUCGUGCCACCUGCCUAGUCAGUUGGAGGAAAGUUUGUCGCCCCAAACUUUUGGGGGGGCUAGGCAUCAUUGAUCCGCACUCCUUUGGGCGGGCUCUGCGACUGCGAUGGCUGUGGCUUCAAUGGACCGACAGGAAGCGGUCCUGGAUUGGCUCCAAUAUCCCCUGUGAUUCCAUGGAUGCUGCUCUGUUCAACGCUUCCACGGUCAUCUCCAUCGGCAAUGGCGAAACUGCCAGCUUCUGGUCCUCUUGCUGGCUUCAGGGUCAAGCCCCAAAAGAGUUAGCUCCGGAUCUGUUC